AGCGAACGCUGGCGGCAGGCUUAACACAUGCAAGUCGAACGCCCCGCAAGGGGAGUGGCAGACGGGUGAGUAACACGUGGGAACGUACCCUUUGGUUCGGAAUAACUUGGGGAAACGCAAGCUGAUACCGGAUAAGCCCUUAUGGGGAAAGGUUUACUGCCGAAGGAUCGGCCCGCGUCUGAUUAGCUAGUUGGUGAGGUAAUGGCUCACCAAGGCGACGAUCAGUAGCUGGUCUGAGAGGAUGAUCAGCCACACUGGGACUGAGACACGGCCCAGACUCCUACGGGAGGCAGCAGUGGGGAAUAUUGGACAAUGGGGGCAACCCUGAUCCAGCCAUGCCGCGUGAGUGAUGAAGGCCUUAGGGUUGUAAAGCUCUUUUGCCCGGGACGAUAAUGACUGUACCGGGAGAAUAAGCCCCGGCUAACUUCGUGCCAGCCGCCGCGGUAA
rnacentral:rRNA from 1 species